rnacentral:rRNA from 1 species
AUUGAACGCUGGCGGCAUGCCUUACACAUGCAAGUCGAACGGCAGCACGUGAGCAAUCCUGGUGGCGAGUGGCGAACGGGUGAGUAAAGUAUCGGAACGUGCCCAGUCUGGGGGGAUAACGUCGCGAAAGUUACGCUAAUACCGCAUAGGAUCUAUGGAUGAAAGCGGGGGAUCGCAACACCUUGUCCGAUGGGAGCGGCCCAUAUCUGAUUAGGUAGUUGGUGGGGUAAAGGCUCAAGAAGCCGACGAUCUGUAGCUGGUCUGAGUGGAAGACCAGCCACACUGGGACUGAGACACGGCCCAGACUCCUACGGGAGGAAGCAGUGGAGAAUUUUGGACAAUGGGCGAAAGCCUGAUCCAGCCAUGCCGCGUGCAGGAUGAAGGCCUUCGGGUUGUAAACUGCUUUUGUACGGAACGAAAAGGUUUGGCCUAAUAAGCUGAGCUCAUGACGGUACCGUAAGAAUAAGCACCGGCUAACUACGUGCCAGCCGCCGCUGUAA